rnacentral:rRNA from 1 species
AGCGAACGUUAGCGGCGCGCCUAACACAUGCAAGUCGCACGAGAAAGGGCUUCGGCCCCAGUAAAGUGGCGCACGGGUGCGUAACACGUAGGCAAUCUUCCCUUAGGCGGGGGGUAACGUUUCGAAAGAGACGCUAAUACCGCAUGAGACCACGGACGCUUCGGCGACUGCGGUCAAAGUUGGCCUCUUCAUGAAAGCUAACACCUAAGGACGAGCCUGCGGCCCAUCAUUGCAGUUGGUAGGGUAACGGCCUACCAAGGCUAAGACGGGUAGCUGGUCUGAGAGGAUGAUCAGCCACACUGGCACUGAAACACGGGCCAGACUCCUACGGGAGGCAGCAGUGGGGAAUAUUGGACAAUGGGCGCAAGCCUGAUCCAGCGACGCCGCGUGAGUGAUGAAGGCC